GAGUGUGAACCUUCGCUUGGGGCAGGAGGUAGCUUCGGAAAGGAAGGAGCAGACGGAGGCCAGAAGCUGGAUCUGGCAGCUGCGGCAGCACACACCUUCUUUGUAGCAAACCCCAUGCACCUGCAGAUGCGGGAGGACAUGGCUAAGUACAGACGAAUGUCGGGAGUUCGGCCCCAGAGCUUCCGGGACCUGGAGACGCCCCCACACUGGGCAGCCUAUGACACUGGCCUGGAGCUGCUGGGGCGCCAGGAGGCAAGACUGGCACUGCCCAGGCUAGAGGAGGCUCUUCAGGGGAGCCUGGCCCAGAUGGAGAGCUGCCGUGCUGACUGCGAGGGGCCUGAGGAGCAGCAGGGGGCUGAACAAGAGGAGGAUGGGGCUGCGAGCCAGGGGGGCCUCUAUGAGGCCAUUGCAGGACACUGGAUUCAGGUCCUGCAGUGCCGGCAACGCUGUGUGGGGGAAACAGCCACACGCCCUGGUCGCAGCUUCCCUGUCCCAGACUUCCUUCCCAACCAGCUGAGGCGGCUACAUGAGGCCCAUGCUCAGGUGGGCAAUCUGUCCCAGGCUAUAGAAAAU
rnacentral:sRNA from 1 species